rnacentral:lncRNA from 1 species
GACUCAGCGCUCUGAGAAGACUCUGGGGUGGCAGCUGAUGAAAAGACAGUAAUUAGUUGUUUGGCAAGUGACAUUUGCUUGUUUGGUUUUUCUUCUCUUUUUUUUCACUGCGGCUUUUCCUCCUUGGCAAAAAAAAAAAUAAAAGAAAGAAAGAAAAGAAAAAAGAAAGAUAAAAAGGAGGGGGGAAUCCCAAGCUAAAAGGAUGUCUCUCCUUACUUUUUUUAAAGUACUGGGGUGGGGGCAGCAAAAGCACACAGACACACACGAAAAUUGUUGAAAUGACCACAGAAACAUCACACAACACUAAUUAGAAUGGAAACUUUCCACGUCUCAGUAUUUUGGCUAUCUGAAUAAAUUUGUGAAUUCACUGGGAACAGGGUCACUUUUCAACAAAAUAGUUCGAUUAUCAAAAAUAAAAUGUAGAAGGCUGUGUUAAUUCGCGGUGGCGUUUGGUUUGAUCUUUUUGGAUGGGGUCAAGUCUUUGUUCUCCCUGGGCCACAUUGAGUAAAGCAGAAAAUUGUUAAUAAGUGAAAAUAAUCCUGUUGGUGUUGGUGCGUUUGCAAUUUCAGUGAUUAGAUGAUAUAUGGGAAACUUCUAAAAGCGUAAUUCUGCUGUAAAUGUGAAUAUGUAUACAGUCUGAUUUCAAAGUACACACCUGGAAACAUCUAGAAUCUUCUGUAUGGUUCAUUCUUGCUCAUAUGAGUGCUUAUUUAAGUUCACUAUGAUGUUAAUGAUACAUCAAAUUCCUAACAUCUUUUUUUGUGUGUGUUUACAGUGAUUUCAAAUGUCCCCACUUAUUUGAGACUGCAGUUCUGAGCCCACCUUGCCUCCUUUCAAGUCUCUGGUCUACAUGGCUGCAUUGUGCCACAAUUAAUUGAUGACCUUUGGCACAGAAAUCUGUUGCCCUGGCUAUUGGCGACAUUUUACAUUUCUUAAAAAUGAAAUAAUUACCCACAAAGGAAACUUAAUACCCCCAACUUCCUUUUCUUUAACCCAUUUUAACUUCUAUCAGGUAAAUUAAGUAAAUUUGCAGAACCACAAAACAAACAAAAGCCUGGCAGUUAUUUUUCAGCCCAGUUUUCUAUUCUUACAAAAGUGGAAACUGAGGCACGGAUCUAGUUCUGUCUCUGAAAAAAACCUGGUGUCACAAAUGUUCCCAUUUCUGAGGGUGGAGUGCUGAGGGACCUGAUGAGUCCUCUGUUUCCUUCAUGGAAGCCUCCCAAUAUUGCCUUUUAUAUUUAAUUUAUGAGAAUUUUGCUCAUUAGGAUGGUGUUUGCUUUGAAAUCAAUGCUGCUGUGGAAACCAAUUUUAACUUUUACAAAUCUUGCUUAUGGACUUGUGGAGGGGUGGAAAAGAGGAGGGGUGAAGAAAUGGAGGGGUGGAGAAUUUCGGGGAGGGGGAGUGUUGAACUGAAUAGGGUGGGGGAGUGAAUGCCUUUCUAUCUGGGCACCAAAACAGAAACAAUAUGGAGAAAAAGAACAAGAUUUUUUUAAAAAUUAGAUUGUUGUGGGAGGAGGGGAAAAACCAUUCCCACAGGGAAUACGGGCUGAAGAGUACAUUUGCAGAAACUUGGUGGAAAUGGGGUGGGGCUGGAGGGUCCUCCAAAUACUACCUAUGAAAGAAAGAAAGAAAGAAAGAAAGAAAGAAAGAAAGAAAGAAAGAAAGGUGAUUUAAAAUGGAGGCCUGUGUUCCUAUUUACUUCCUUAGUUGGGGAAAGCCUAGAAUCUUCUUAUUCAGGACCUUCCAGGAAUAUUUGUGCAUAUAAUUAAAGUCUUAUCCUUUUUUUUUUUUAAACUCUUGGUACUGUUGAAGUUGCAUGUUGCCUGAUGCUCAUGAGGUCUCAAGUGCCAUGUUUGAUAACGAAAUGUGUUUAUUUUUUGUUUUUUGCUUUUUUUUUUUUUGCUCCCCCGCCCCCCGCUCCCGCCCCUCUGCUGCUGACAGAUAAUUGAUGGUCUACCAUUUCCCUCUGCAACAUGGUGGUUGUAUCCAGAGAAAAAUGUAUCUUUAGAAAGAUUCCUUUUGCAGGGGAAGGGAGUGGAUACAGUGGAUACAGUGUAGCCCUGUGGUUUUAGGGUGGACCUGAAGCAUGCUUGAGAGCAGCUGCAUUGUGGCGUUGGGAGGGAGGUGCUGCAGCGGGGCGUGAUAGUGGGAGACUGCAGUGUCUAGGCAUUGUCUGCCAUUCCUAAGUAUUUUAACCAUAAAAUGACUAACAAACAGGAAAUUAGGUGGCUGCUGCAUAGAGUACCUUUGACCACAUUUCAAUACUAAAUUCACAGUUUUGACUUAAAAUUUUCACCCUUCCAGUGACAAUUACGUCAUUCCUUCAUCGCCUCAUGAGUUUAAAAAACCCAAAGAGAAAACAAAACAACAACAACAAAACUC